UGGAAAUUUAAAAAAAAACUUUUUUAAAAAUAAAAAUUGAAUUUUUUUUAAUUUGUGCAAAAACAAUUAUUAUUAUUAAAGACAAGAAGACCCUAAGAAUUUAUGAUUUUGCAAUUAGAAUUUUUUUCAAAAAAUCUUGAUUGGGGCGAUCAAAAAAUAUUAAUAACUUUUUAAAUUUAAAUUGAUCUAUUAUUAAUAAACUAAUGAAUUAAAUACUCUAGGGAUAACAGCGUAAUAAUUUUUGAUAGAUCUUAUUGACAAAAUAGUUUGCGACCUCGAUGUUGGAUUAGGAUCCUUUUUUAAUGAAGAAGUUAAAAAAAGAAGUUUGUUCAACUUUUAAAUUCCUACUUGAUCU
rnacentral:rRNA from 1 species